CACGCGGUAAACGAUGACGACUGGGUGUUGCGGGUAUUGAUCCCCGCAGUGCCGAAGCCAACGCGUUAAGUCGUCCGCCUGGGAAGUACGGCCGCAAGGCUAAAACUCAAAGGAAUUGACGGGGGCCCGCACAAGCGGUGGAGCAUGUGGUUUAAUUCGACGCAACGCGAAGAACCUUACCUGGACUCGAAAAUGCACGAACCUGUCUGAAAGGACGGGGUGCUCGCAAGAGAGCGUGUAUCAGGUGC
rnacentral:rRNA from 1 species